rnacentral:rRNA from 1 species
GACGUAGGAUGCAAGCGUUGUCCGGAAUUAUUGGGCGUAAAGAGUUCGUAGGCGGUUUGUUAAGUCUGGUGUUAAAUACCGAAGCUCAACUUCGGCAUGGCAUCGGAUACUGGCAGGCUAGAGUGCGGUAGAGGUCUCGGGAAUUCCAGGUGUAGCGGUGAAAUGCGUAGAUAUCGGAAAGAACACCAGUGGCGAAGGCGACUUACUGGGCUAAUAUUGACGCUGAGGUGCGAAAGCGUGGGGAGCAAACGGG